rnacentral:rRNA from 1 species
CCUACGGGUGGCUGCAGUGGGGAAUAUUGGACAAUGGGCGAAAGCCUGAUCCAGCCAUGCCGCGUGUGUGAAGAAGGCCUUCGGGUUGUAAAGCACUUUCAGUGGGGAAGAAAGCCUUGGGGCUAAUACCCUCGAGGAAGGACAUCACCCACAGAAGAAGCACCGGCUAACUCCGUGCCAGCAGCCGCGGUAAUACGGAGGGUGCGAGCGUUAAUCGGAAUUACUGGGCGGAAAGCGCGCGUAGGCGGUCUGAUAAGCCGGUUGUGAAAGCCCCGGGCUCAACCUGGGAACGGCAUCCGGAACUGUCAGGCUAGAGUGCAGGAGAGGAAGGUAGAAUUCCCGGUGUAGCGGUGAAAUGCGUAGAGAUCUGGAGGAAUACCAGUGGCGAAGGCGGCCUUCUGGACUGACACUGACGCUGAGGUGCGAAAGCGUGGGUAGCAAACAGGAUUAGAUACCCCUGUAGUC